ACUCCUACGGGAGGCAGCAGUGGGGAAUAUUGGACAAUGGGCGCAAGCCUGAUCCAGCCAUGCCGCGUGAGUGAUGAAGGCCCUAGGGUUGUAAAGCUCUUUCACCGGUGAAGAUAAUGACGGUAACCGGAGAAGAAGCCCCGGCUAACUUCGUGCCAGCAGCCGCGGUAAUACCAAGGGGGCUAGCGUUGUUCGGAUUUACUGGGCGUAAAGCGCACGUAGGCGGACUAUUAAGUCAGGGGUGAAAUCCCGGGGCUCAACCCCGGAACUGCCUUUGAUACUGGUAGUCUUGAGUUCGAGAGAGGUGAGUGGAAUUCCGAGUGUAGAGGUGAAAUUCGUAGAUAUUCGGAGGAACACCAGUGGCGAAGGCGGCUCACUGGCUCGAUACUGACGCUGAGGUGCGAAAGCGUGGGGAGCAAACAGGAUUAGAAACCCGUGUAGUCCCAUG
rnacentral:rRNA from 1 species